rnacentral:rRNA from 1 species
GGUGCCAAGCAGCCGCGGUAAUUCCAGCUCCAAUAGCGUAUAUUAAAGUUGUUGCAGUUAAAAAGCUCGUAGUUGAACCUUGGGUCUGGCUGGCCGGUCCGCCUCACCGCGUGUACUGGUCCGGCCGGACCUUUCCUUCUGGGGAGCCGCAUGCCCUUCACUGGGCGUGUCGGGGAACCAGGACUUUUACUUUGAAAAAAUUAGAGUGUUCAAAGCAGGCCUUUGCUCGAAUACAUUAGCAUGGAAUAAUAGAAUAGGACGCGCGGUUCUAUUUUGUUGGUUUCUAGGACCGCCGUAAUGAUUAAUAGGGAUAGUCGGGGGCAUCCGUAUUCAAUUGUCAGAGGUGAAAUUCUUGGAUUUAUUGAAGACGAACUACUGCGAAAGCAUUUGCCAAGGAUGUUUUCAUUAAUCAGUGAACGAAAGUUAGGGGAUCGAAGACGAUCAGAUACCGUCGUAGUCUUAACCAUAAACUAUGCCGACUCGGGAUCGGUGGGCGUUACUAUUUUGACUCCAUCGGCACCGUACGAGAAAUCAAAGUUUUUGGGUUCUGGGGGGAGUAUGGUCGCAAGGCUGAAACUUAAAGAAAUUGACGGAAGGGCACCACCAGGCGUGGAGCCUGCGGCUUAAUUUGACUCAACACGGGGAAACUCACCAGGUCCAGACACAAUAAGGAUUGACAGAUUGAGAGCUCUUUCUUGAUUUUGUGGGUGGUGGUGCAUGGCCGUUCUUAGUUGGUGGAGUGAUUUGUCUGCUUAAUUGCGAUAACGAACGAGACCUUAACCUGCUAAAUAGCCCGGCCCGCUUUGGCGGGUCGCCGGCUUCUUAGGGGGACUAUCGGCUCAAGCCGAUGGAAGUUUGAGGCAAUAACAGGUCUGUGAUGCC